rnacentral:rRNA from 1 species
GAUGAACGCUGGCGGCGUGCCUAAUACAUGCAAGUCGAGCGAAUGGAUUAAGAGCUUGCUCUUAUGAAGUUAGCGGCGGACGGGUGAGUAACACGUGAGUAACCUGCCCAUAAGACUGGGAUAACUCCGGGAAACCGGGGCUAAUACCGGAUAAAAUUUUGAACCGCAUGGGUCGAAAUUGAAAGGCGGCUUCGGCUGUCACUUAUGGAUGGACCCGCGUCGCAUUAGCUAGUUGGUGAGGUAACGGCUCCCCAAGGCACCGAUGCGUAGCCGACCUGAGAGGGUGAUCGGCCACACUGGGACUGAGACACGGCCCAGACUCCUACGGGAGGCAGCAGUAGGGAAUCUUCCGCAAUGGACGAAAGUCUGACGGAGCAACGCCGCGUGAGUGAUGAAAGCUUUCGGGUCGUAAAACUCUGUUGUUAGGGAAGAACAAGUGCUAGUUGAAUAAGCUGGCACCUUGACGGUACCUAACCAGAAAGCCACGGCUAACUACGUGCCAGCAGCCGCAGUAA